rnacentral:rRNA from 1 species
GACGAACGCUGGCGGCGUGCCUAAUACAUGCAAGUCGAACGCAGUGGGGACGGGUGAGUAACACGUGGGUAACCUCGAAUCAGAGGGGAUAACAGUUGGCAACAGGUGCUAAACCGAUACUGAAUGAUGGAGCAGCGGGGCAAUAGGUAGUUGGUGGGGUAACGGCUCACCAAGGCCACGAGGCAUAGCCGGCCGUAGAGGGGGAUCGGCCACACUGGGACUGAGACACGGCCCAGACUCCUACGGGAGGCAGCAGUAGGGAAUCUUCGGCAAUGGACGAAAGUCUGACCCAGCAACGCCGCGUGAGUGAAGAAGGUUUUCGGAUCGUAAAACUCUGUUGUUAGAGAAGCGUUAUCUACCCAGAAAGCCACGGCUAACUACGUGCCAGCAGCCGCGGUAAUUC